ensembl:snRNA U6 U6 spliceosomal RNA
GUGACUGCUUUGAAGCACAUAUACUAAAAUUGAAAUGAUACAGAGAAGAUUAGCAUGGCCCCCGAGCAAGGUCCUAUCUCUAUUGAUAUUUAUUUAUUUAUU